rnacentral:guide_RNA from 1 species
AACAUACAAUAAGACGAAGAGAAACUAAUAGAGUGAUAAGAU